rnacentral:tRNA from 1 species
CAUUACAAGUGCGGUGCUCUGACCUCUGAGCUAAACAGGC